AGUACAUUCAUCUACAGAUAGCUAGGUGGGACAACCACAUAUCACAGUCAUAGUCAGUACAUUCAUCUACAGAUAGCUAGGUGGGACAACCACAUAUCACAGUCAGUACAUUCAUCUCCAGAUAGCUAGGUGGGACAACCACAUAUCACAGUCAUAGUCAGUACAUUCAUCUACAGAUAACUAGGUGGGACAACCACAUAUCACAGUCAUAGUCAGUACAUUCAUCUACAGAUAGCUAGGUGGGACAACCACAUAUCACAGUCAGUACAUUCAUCUACAGAUAGCUAGGUGGGACAACCACAUAUCACAGUCAUAGUCAGUACAUUCAUCUACAGAUAGCUAGGUGGGACAACCACAUAUCACAGUCAUAGUCAGUACAUUCAUCUACAGAUAGCUAGGUGGGACAACCACAUAUCACAGUCAGUACAUUCAUCUACAGAUAGCUAGGUGAGACAACCACAUAUCACAGUCAGUACAUUCAUCUACAGAUAGCUAGGUGGGACAACCACAUAUCACAGUCAUAGUCAGUACAUUCAUCUACAGAUAGCUAGGUGAGACAACCACAUAUCACAGUCAGUACAUUCAUCUACAGAUAGCUAGGUGGGACAACCACAUAUCACAGUCAGUACAUUCAUCUACAGAUAGCUAGGUGAGACAACCACAUAUCAUAGUCAGUACAUUCAUCUACAGAUAGCUGGGUGGGACAACCACAUAUCACAGUCAUAGUCAGUACAUUCAUCUCCAGAUAGCUAGGUGAGACAACCACAUAUCACAGUCAGUACAUUCAUCUACAGAUAGCUAGGUGGGACAACCACAUAUCACAGUCAUAGUCAGUACAUUCAUCUACAGAUAGCUAGGUGGGACAACCACAUAUCACAGUCAUAGUCAGUACAUUCAUCUUCAGAUAGCUAGGUGGGACAACCACAUAUCACAGUCAGUACAUUCAUCUACAGAUAGCUAGGUGAGACAACCACAUAUCACAGUCAUAGUCAGUACAUUCAUCUUCAGAUAGCUAGGUGGGACAACCACGUAUCACAGUCAUAGUCAGUACAUUCAUCUACAGAUAGCUAGGUGGGACAACCACAUAUCACAGUCAGUACAUUCAUCUACAGAUAGCUAGGUGGGACAACCACAUAUCACAGUCAUAGUCAGUACAUUCAUCUACAGAUAGCUAGGUGAGACAACCACAUAUCACAGUCAUAGUCAGUACAUUCAUCUACAGAUAGCUAGGUGAGACAACCACAUAUCACAGUCAUAGUCAGUACAUUCAUCUACAGAUAGCUAGGUGAGACAACCACAUAUCACAGUCAUAGUCAGUACAUUCAUCUACAGAUAGCUAGGUGGGACAACCACAUAUCACAGUCAGUACAUUCAUCUACAGAUAGCUAGGUGAGACAACCACAUAUCACAGUCAGUACAUUCAUCUUCAGAUAGCUAGGUGGGACAACCACAUAUCACAGUCAGUACAUUCAUCUUCAGAUAGCUAGGUGGGACAACCACAUAUCACAGUCAUAGUCAGUACAUUAAUCUACAGAUAGCUAGGUGAGACAACCACAUAUCAUAGUCAGUACAUUCAUCUACAGAUAGCUAGGUGAGACAACCACAUAUCACAGUCAUAGUCAGUACAUUCAUCUUCAGAUAGCUAGGUGGGACAACCACAUAUCACAGUCAGUACAUUCAUCUACAGAUAGCUAGGUGGGACAACCACAUAUCACAGUCAUAGUCAGUACAUUCAUCUACAGAUAGCUAGGUGGGACAACCACAUAUCACAGUCAGUACAUUCAUCUACAGAUAGCUAGGUGGGACAACCACAUAUCACAGUCACAGUCAGUACAUUCAUCUACAGAUAGCUAGGUGGGACAACCACAUAUCACAGUCAUAGUCAGUACAUUCAUCUUCAGAUAGCUAGGUGGGACAACCACAUAUCACAGUCAGUACAUUCAUCUACAGAUAGCUAGGAGAGACAACCACAUAUCACAGUCAUAGUCAGUACAUUCAUCUACAGAUAGCUAGGUGAGACAACCACAUAUCACAGUCAUAGUCAGUACAUUCAUCUACAGAUAGCUAGGUGAGACAACCACAUAUCACAGUCAUAGUCAGUACAUUCAUCUACAGAUAGCUAGGUGAGACAACCACAUAUCACAGUCAGUACAUUCAUCUACAGAUAGCUAGGUGGGACAACCACAUAUCACAGUCAUAGUCAGUACAUUCAUCUACAGAUAGCUAGGUGGGACAACCACAUAUCACAGUCAUAGUCAGUACAUUCAUCUACAGAUAGCUAGGUGAGACAACCACAUAUCACAGUCAGUACAUUCAUCUACAGAUAGCUAGGUGAGACAACCACAUAUCACAGUCAGUACAUUCAUCUACAGAUAGCUAGGUGGGACAACCACAUAUCACAGUCAUAGUCAGUACAUUAAUCUACAGAUAGCUAGGUGGGACAACCACAUCUCA